GUUCUACGAGAAAAAAAGGAAAGGAAAACAAGAACUAGUACUACACCAAUCUCAAACAAGUCGGUCGUUCUCGGACGUACUCCUACUGAUGAUGAGACUGAGAGACAUGAGGGAGGAGGAAGCGGCCUGCCUGGAACUGACCCACCGUCACCACUGCUGCCCUGCCCACACAGCGAUCAAUGCUACAAGACACCCUCACUCACCAUCCUGGGAAUCUGCUGCAUUCAAUACUCCCUUCCCCAAAACAAGAACUGUCAAUGCAUGCAGUCCAUCCAGCCCUCUCUCUCUCAUCAGCCGUCCUGCCCAGCCCAGAUCCACCCCAUCAACCAGCAGGUCCAGUCCAGCCAUCCAACUCCAGCACAGAACGAGAACAGCACCACUGCUGCUGUACUGCUUGCUGUUCGCCUCCCAGCAGUGGAACACCAGCACUUCCCCUUCAGCGUCCAGCCGUCGACCGAGCACACGGCCAGAGCGGUGCCUCGCUUCUGCUUUGGACGCUUGUGAUCCAGUAGAGUAACCAGGAAGGAAGCAAAUCAACACGGCUGCUAAAAAGAAACCGGCGAUUAAACCAGGUGUAAAGUGGUAGUACUAGCCUACUAGGUGUUUUCGAAUUCGCAAUCUUCUCCUGAU
rnacentral:misc_RNA from 1 species